AGUGUUUAUUAAACUAAACAAAACUCAAGCAAAAUGAAAUUCGUAUAUUUUUUGGCAAUUUGUGUUUUAAGUAUGGUUGCUCUAGCAAAGGCUGAUAGCAAGCCCCUUAACUUGGUUUUGCCUAAAGAAGAACCUAAAAAUUUGCCUCAACUUUAUGGUGGCGGUGGUGGUUCCCGUAAAGAUGGCUUUGAUGUAAGCUCAGCAAAAGGUUUGGGAGAGUCAAAACAAACGUCAUUCAGUUGAUGUCAAUGCUGGUUAUGCUCAACAUUUAAGUGGUCCUUAUGGCAAUAGUCGUCCAGCUUAUAGUGGUGGUGCUAGUUACACUUAUAGAUUUGGUUAAUUGGAGACAAUUUCUUACUUAGAUCAUAAACACUCAUAUUUAUCUUAAGUUCAUAUGUACAAACAAAUUACAUAAUAAAAAAUAUUAUUAAAAUCUAACUGAUUAUGAAAAA